GAUUCAAUGCGGAUGGCUCCGCAGAGGCGCCAUGUGUAUCUUUUGUGUAUGGCGGGUGGCGCCCGAGAGGAGCCAAAAUGUUUUCCUGUAAAACUCCGCUAAAAAAGCUUUAUUCAGAGGCUAGCCCUAAAUGAAAGUUUCCUUAUUUGUCACGUAGAUUACGAUACUAGUAUUAGUUUCAAGAUAUAGCGUGAAAAAAGACAUUUCAGAUGUUGUAAACCUUUUCAAUAGAAACAAUAAUUAUGAAAGGUAACUUUUGUGCAUGGCGGGUGGCACCCCAGAGGAGCCAAUAUUUGAAACCAAAAAACUGACUAAUUUAAAUUUAUCAAUAGUACAUAUUUCAGUGUUCUAAAAAUAUUAGUGUCUUUAUUUAUCACGUAGAUCCUUUCCAGAGAAAUCGCUUUAAGGUGUAGCGUGAUUUCACACUCUUCGGGGAUGGUAAACCAUUUUAAGCGUUAUUUAAAUGUUAUUUAAUAUUAAGGGUUACAAACGAAUAGCACUAAUCAUGACAGUUAAAUAUUUAAAAAAUAUCUGUUUUCACUUUUUUUGCUUUGUGGAUAUGCUCUUUUGCAAGUUUAUGGUAAUAACUAGGUAGUUUCUCGAAGUAUGUCCAAAUUUAACCGGACUAGUAAUUGCAUUCCUUAGGUAUCAAGACAAUGUACUUAGUUUAUUUUUGGUGAGAAACAACAACAAAAACGAUUCUCAGAAAAGCACUAUCUUUUGUUGUUAUGCUAUGCAGUCAUAUCAAAGAUGUUUUAAAGAUUUUUAAGCUUUUUAUUGCCCUACUGCUUAUUGUUAAUAUGCCGUGCCGACCGACCCUUUUUAUUGAUGGGCUAGGGAAAGAUGUUAUUUAACUAAAAACAAAAGAAGUCGGUGCCAUAAAUCACUUAACAAGGUUUCUCACGCGCAAAUUACUUAACUAUCGAUGAUGUUUUUUCGUUUACUUCUGUUUUGCUAUUUAUGGUGAUCAGACGUAAGCACGUUGUGACCGUUUAAUGCUCGCUUCUGAAGUCUCUUAGUUUGCCUUUUAACAACUGUGGACUGUGUAUCUGGACUUCGAGAUUUUGCUUCAGUGACUACCCCGGCUAGUAAUUUGGACUCUGUUUUGAUUCUUGACUUUACAAGUUGCUAACCAAAAUGGCUACUCCUCCAUCCCCUGAACCUGGCCCGUCAAAUUGGGAUCUCAUAUCUAUGGAGUUAUCCGGAAUGAUGUCUCCCAGCCAUAUAAACUUAUCAGACAUGCCAUGCAUUGAUGCUAUUAUAAGUGAUGCAGAAUUGUAUGGGAUUUUGGCACAGGAUGUGGAUAACUUUCUGGAAGAUUUGGUAAAUGAAAACACAGAAGAUGAAGAAGCCGUUUGUGCUGAAGAUCAGUUAGAACAGGACGUUGAAAAUACAACUGAGGAAGCCCCUACUACCGAUUGGUUCAAUGGAAACCCCUCGAAUAUGGCCGAGAUUCCUUUUACGGGCACACCUGGUUUAUUACCG